rnacentral:rRNA from 1 species
GGGGUUGUAGGACACUCUAUACGGAGUUACAAAGGACGACAUUAGACGAAUCAUCUGGAAAGAUGAAUCAAAGAAGGUAAUAAUCCUGUAGUCGAAAAUGUUGUCUCUCUUGAGUGGAUCCUGAGUACGACGGAACACGUGAAAUUCCGUCGGAAUCUGGGAGGACCAUCUCCUAAGGCUAAAUACUCUCUAGUGACCGAUAGUGAACCAGUACCGUGAGGGAAAGGUGAAAAGCACCCCGGAAGGGGAGUGAAAUAGAACCUGAAACCGUGUGCUUACAAGUAGUCAGAGCCCGUUAAUGGGUGAUGGCGUGCCUUUUGUAGAAUGAACCGGCGAGUUACGAUUUGAUGCAAGGUUAAGCAGUAAAUGUGGAGCCGUAGCGAAAGCGAGUCUGAAUAGGGCGUUUAGUAUUUGGUCGUAGACCCGAAACCAGGUGAUCUACCCUUGGUCAGGUUGAAGUUCAGGUAACACUGAAUGGAGGACCGAACCGACUUACGUUGAAAAGUGAGCGGAUGAACUGAGGGUAGCGGAGAAAUUCCAAUCGAACCUGGAGAUAGCUGGUUCUCUCCGAAAUAGCUUUAGGGCUAGCCUCAAGUGAUGAUUAUUGGAGGUAGAGCACUGUUUGGACGAGGGGCCCCUCUCGGGUUACCGAAUUCAGACAAACUCCGAAUGCCAAUUAAUUUAACUUGGGAGUCAGAACAUGGGUGAUAAGGUCCGUGUUCGAAAGGGAAACAGCCCAGACCACCAGCUAAGGUCCCAAAAUAUAUGUUAAGUGGAAAAGGAUGUGGCGUUGCCCAGACAACUAGGAUGUUGGCUUAGAAGCAGCCAUCAUUUAAAGAGUGCGUAAUAGCUCACUAGUCGAGUGACACUGCGCCGAAAAUGUACCGGGGCUAAACAUAUUACCGAAGCUGUGGAUUGUCCUUUGGACAAUGGUAGGAGAGCGUUCUAAGGGCGUUGAAGCAUGAUCGUAAGGACAUGUGGAGCGCUUAGAAGUGAGAAUGCCGGUGUGAGUAGCGAAAGACGGGUGAGAAUCCCGUCCACCGAUUGACUAAGGUUUCCAGAGGAAGGCUCGUCCGCUCUGGGUUAGUCGGGUCCUAAGCUGAGGCCGACAGGCGUAGGCGAUGGAUAACAGGUUGAUAUUCCUGUACCACCUAUAAUCGUUUUAAUCGAUGGGGGGACGCAGUAGGAUAGGCGAAGCGUGCGAUUGGAUUGCACGUCUAAGCAGUAAGGCUGAGUAUUAGGCAAAUCCGGUACUCGUUAAGGCUGAGCUGUGAUGGGGAGAAGACAUUGUGUCUUCGAGUCGUUGAUUUCACACUGCCGAGAAAAGCCUCUAGAUAGAAAAUAGGUGCCCGUACCGCAAACCGACACAGGUAGUCAAGAUGAGAAUUCUAAGGUGAGCGAGCGAACUCUCGUUAAGGAACUCGGCAAAAUGACCCCGUAACUUCGGGAGAAGGGGUGCUCUUUAGGGUUAACGCCCAGAAGAGCCGCAGUGAAUAGGCCCAAGCGACUGUUUAUCAAAAACACAGGUCUCUGCUAAACCGUAAGGUGAUGUAUAGGGGCUGACGCCUGCCCGGUGCUGGAAGGUUAAGAGGAGUGGUUAGCUUCUGCGAAGCUACGAAUCGAAGCCCCAGUAAACGGCGGCCGUAACUAUAACGGUCCUAAGGUAGCGAAAUUCCUUGUCGGGUAAGUUCCGACCCGCACGAAAGGCGUAACGAUUUGGGCACUGUCUCAACGAGAGACUCGGUGAAAUCAUAGUACCUGUGAAGAUGCAGGUUACCCGCGACAGGACGGAAAGACCCCGUGGAGCUUUACUGUAGCCUGAUAUUGAAAUUCGGCACAGCUUGUACAGGAUAGGUAGGAGCCUUUGAAACGUGAGCGCUAGCUUACGUGGAGGCGCUGGUGGGAUACUACCCUAGCUGUGUUGGCUUUCUAACCCGCACCACUUAUCGUGGUGGGAGACAGUGUCAGGCGGGCAGUUUGACUGGGGCGGUCGCCUCCUAAAAGGUAACGGAGGCGCUCAAAGGUUCCCUCAGAAUGGUUGGAAAUCAUUCAUAGAGUGUAAAGGCAUAAGGGAGCUUGACUGCGAGACCUACAAGUCGAGCAGGGUCGAAAGACGGACUUAGUGAUCCGGUGGUUCCGCAUGGAAGGGCCAUCGCUCAACGGAUAAAAGCUACCCCGGGGAUAACAGGCUUAUCUCCCCCAAGAGUUCACAUCGACGGGGAGGUUUGGCACCUCGAUGUCGGCUCAUCGCAUCCUGGGGCUGUAGUCGGUCCCAAGGGUUGGGCUGUUCGCCCAUUAAAGCGGUACGCGAGCUGGGUUCAGAACGUCGUGAGACAGUUCGGUCCCUAUCCGUCGUGGGCGUAGGAAAUUUGAGAGGAGCUGUCCUUAGUACGAGAGGACCGGGAUGGACAUACCUCUGGUGUACCAGUUGUCGUGCCAACGGCAUAGCUGGGUAGCUAUGUGUGGACGGGAUAAGUGCUGAAAGCAUCUAAGCAUGAAGCCCCCCUCAAGAUGAGAUUUCCCAACUUCGGUUAUAAGAUCCCUCAAAGAUGAUGAGGUUAAUAGGUUCGAGGUGGAAGCAUGGUGACAUGUGGAGCUGACGAAUACUAAUCGAUCGAAGACUUAAUCAA